UACGAAGGGUGCAAACGUUGCUCGGAAUUAUUGGGCGUAAAGCGCACGUAGGCGGCUUGGCAAGUCGGAUGUGAAAUCCCCGGGCUCAACCCGGGAAGGGCACCCGAAACUGCACGGCUCGAGUACCGGAGAGGUUGGUGGAAUUCUCGGUGUAGAGGUGAAAUUCGUAGAUAUCGAGAGGAACACCGGUGGCGAAGGCGGCCAACUGGACGAGUACUGACGCUGAGACACGAAAGCGUGGGGAGCGAACAGG
rnacentral:rRNA from 1 species